UGAAUUGACGGGACCGCACAAGCGUGGAUGAUGUGGUUUAAUUCGAUGCAACGCGAAAACCUUACCUACCUUUGACAUGUACGGAAUUCGCCAGAGAUGGCUUAGUGCUCGAAAGAGAACCGUAACACAGGUGCUGCAUGGCUGUCGUCAGCUCGUGUCGUGAGAUGUUGGGUUAAGUCCCGCAACGAGCGCAACCCUUGUCAUUAGUUGCUACAUUUAGUUGGGCACUCUAAUGAGACUGCCGGUGACAAACCGGAGGAAGGUGGGGAUGACGUCAAGUCCUCAUGGCCCUUAUAGGUAGGGCUACACACGUCAUACAAUGGAUGGUACAAAGGGUCGCCAACCCGCGAGGGGGAGCCAAUCCCAUAAAACCAUUCGUAGUCCGGAUCGCAGUCUGCAACUCGACUGCGUGAAGUCGGAAUCGCUAGUAAUCGUGGAUCAGCAUGUCACGGUGAAUACGUUCCCGGGUCUU
rnacentral:rRNA from 1 species